rnacentral:tRNA from 1 species
AAGGGUAUAGUACAGUGGUUAGAGUGUGUGCUUAGCAUGCACAAGGUCCUGGGUUCAAUCCCCAGUACCUCCA